rnacentral:rRNA from 1 species
AGUGAACGCUGGCGGUAGGCCUAACACAUGCAAGUCGAACGGCAGCACAGUAAGAGCUUGCUCUUACGGGUGGCGAGUGGCGGACGGGUGAGGAAUACAUCGGAAUCUACUUUUUCGUGGGGGAUAACGUAGGGAAACUUACGCUAAUACCGCAUACGACCUACGGGUGAAAGCAGGGGAUCUUCGGACCUUUCGCGAUUGAAUGAGCCGAUGUCGGAUUAGCUAGUUGGCGGGGUAAAGGCCCACCAAGGCGACGAUCCGUAGCUGGUCUGAGAGGAUGAACCGCCAAACUGGAACUGAGACACGGUCCCGACUCCUAAGGGAGGCAGCAGUGGGGAAUAUUGGGCAAUGGGCGGAAGCCUGAUGCAGCCAAGCCGCGUGGGUGAAGAAGGCCUUCGGGUUGUAAAGCCCUUUUGUUGGGAAAGAAAAGCAGCAGGUUAAUACCCCGCUGUUCUGACGGUACCCAAAGAAUAAGCACCGGCUAACUUCGUG